ensembl:lncRNA
CCACAAGACAGCACCACUCUAAACAUCACAUUAAUAAGGCUACAAAAUGCAACCUUUCUAGAAAUUCUGGAUCAGCAUUUCCAGGGAUGUUUCUAGAUAAGCAUUAUAAUAUACAAUGAUCCUUUAAAGGUCAACCACUAAGCAUUUUUAUUUAGAGCUACUAAUUCAACCUUAUGAUUGUAGUUCAGUUUAAAUAAAACAGCACCUAACCAAGAAACCCUUGCCACAAGGAAUAUGAUAGAAACAGGAAAGGAACACUUAUCCAGAGAUCACUGCAGAGAUAUGCCCUCUAUCCUCUUGAGACUUUCCAAUAAGAAAACAAGAAACUCUGGGGGAAAACAUUGGUGACACAGUCACACAACAGAUACAAUGACAACACGAGUGCAAAUGUUGAACAGGAAGUCAUUUCAAGCUCAGUCAAACAUUUCCACAAACAAACCUACUCAAGUCAAACCAAGAAAGAAAACAUAACUGAAGUUGCCAAAAGUCAGCACAAAAAAGAACUCCUGUCACAGCUCCCAACUUAAAGUUUUGUAUUAUAUAUUUUAUCAACAAAUAAUGCCUUCUGCUGGCCUCUAAGAGGCUUAUAUAGUCUACAUUUGAGCCUUUACCUGACUCCCACCUGAAGCCAAUCAUGCCUAACUGUGAAUUAAUUAACUUGAUUGUGAUGGUGCUUUCAGGUAGAAACCAUAGAGAUGGAAAGAGGUCUCUUUUGUGCAUCAAUUAAAUUAUAAUGUGUGUGUGUUCCUGUUAGGACUGCGCCACACUGGCCAUCUCUAUGUUAAAGUUUAAAUGUCAUUAUUUGGCUGAUCCCUCCUGAUGACAGGUUCAAGUUGUGAUCAUAUGACCAACCGGGUCAUCAGGAAGAAUAAGUGAAUUGUAUAUUUACGUGUGCACAGUUAUAUGUGAAAAAUCUAAUAUGUGGGAGGGCGAGAAUAUGGGGGAGAAAUGUAUAACUUUUCUUAUUUGAUUAUAUAUGCAAAUAAAACAUUUAAAUCCAAUUCUUAAAAGCCUGAAAUUUCUAAAUAGAAAAUGUCAUCUUUCGCUUAACAGGCCCCAAAUAUUUUUGCUUACAGGAUUCUGCAUGACAGGGCCACUAGGUUUUUGAAGACAGUCCUUUUGCACCCAGUCUUGUUUUUGAUUAUUCACAUUGUGCAUUGUGAACAAUGUGUUUUCCUUAGCUCCUCUACCUGUGAAACGUGUUGCACAGGCACUCAUGAUGUAGUUACGCCACUGGCUCCAGGUAUAUGGAGGUGAUGUAGUUACGCCACUGGCUCCAGGUAUAUGGAGGUGAUUUAGUUACGCCACUGGCUCCAGGUAUAUGGAGGUGAUGUAGUUAUGCCACUGGAUCCAGGUAUAUGGAGGUGAUUUAGUUACGCCUCUGGCUCCAGGUAUAUGGAGGUGAUGUAGUUACGCCACUGGCUCCAGGUAUAUGGAGGUGAUGUUGUUACGCAGAGAUGGGGACAAGUCACACAUGAUCAAGUCCAAGCAAGUCUCAAGUCUUCACCAUCAAGUCUCGAGUCAAGUCUCAAGUCACAGUUCAGAUAAAUCAAGCAAGUCAAGUCAAGUCAAGGGUUCACCUUAAGCAAGUCAAGUCGAGUCCUUAUAAGUUUCAAGUCAAGUCACAGUACUAAAGAGAUGAACACACACACACACUGUCCUCUGUUUCUGACGUGCGCUCGGUGCGAAGCUCGAUUUCAAAAUCAAAUAUUUUUCUCCUCCGCGGUACAAUUUUUUGGGGGGACGAAGCGGAGGGAUCUUCAAUCUGCCUGAAGGGGUUGUAUUCGCUAUAACAACUACCUCGCUAUACCUUAUCCCGCGUAUUACAUGGCUACCUACCAAAUAAAUCAAUAAUUUGACACAAAAUAUUGAUUUCAAAAGGAAUUUAUUGAUUUGAAAACGAUUGUAUUGCUUCCUCUAAAGAAAAGAGUCCGUUCCAUCUCUGGUUAGAACCCUGCUGCGUCCAUAGCAACGCGCUGUUUUUCAUGGCAACGGUCUGUUAUCAAGAAAUAACACGCAUUCUGCACUGGAAUUCAGCCAAUCCAUGUAAUAAGGGCUAAUAAUAACCUUAUAAACUAAUUAUUGUGACUGAAAAACUGCCUAAUAUGUAAUUACGCUGUAAUUAUUCUUGUCUGUAUGAGUAAAAAAAAAAAACUCUUCGAAAUGUUUAGGUGCUAGUAAUCACAUCGGCGCCUCCAUGUUAGCCUUUCAUGCAGUAAAGUUAUGGUGUAAGCACAAUGCUUUUUAGUUUCCACACGCAGUCCACAAACACUUGAAAAUGCGCACAUUUAAUACAGACAUUAUAGCCUACGUCUAAUAAUAUACAAG